GACGAACGCUGGCGGCGUGCCUAAUACAUGCAAGUCGAACGGACAGGUCCUGCUCUUGUGGGGUUCUCGAGUGGGGAACGGGGGUGUAACACGUGAGUAACCUGCCCUUGUCAUUGUGAUAUCUUCAGGAAACUGGGGCUAAUACCCGGGAGGAGCUUUGGCUGCGCGUGGGUGGAUGGAAAGAUUCGGCUGUUGUGUGUGGACUGGCGGGUUAUCAGCUUGUUGGUGGGGUAGUUGCUUACCAAGGCUAUGAAGGGGAGCCGGCCUGAGAGGGUGACCGGCGACCCAGGGACCGAGGUGAGGCCCCGACACGUACGCGAGGCAGAAGUGGGAAAUAUUGCACAAUGAGCGGAACGCUGGUGCAGCAGCGCCGCGUGCGGGAAGACGGCCUUCGUGGGGUAAACCACUUUCGCCUGUGACGAAGCGCGAGUGACGGUAAUGGAUAAAGAAGCACCGGGUAACUACGUG
rnacentral:rRNA from 1 species